GUGCCAGCCGCCGCGGUAAUACGGAGGGUGCAAGCGUUAUCCGGAUUCACUGGGUUUAAAGGGUGCGUAGGUGGGCAGGUAAGUCAGUGGUGAAAUCUCCGGGCUUAACCCGGAAACUGCCGUUGAUACUAUCUGUCUUGAAUGUAGUGGAGGUGAGCGGAAUAUGUCAUGUAGCGGUGAAAUGCUUAGAUAUGACAUAGAACACCCAUUGCGAAGGCAGCUCGCUACACUAUUAUUGACACUGAGGCACGAAAGCGUGGGGAUCAAACAGGAUUAGAUACCCUGGUAGUCCACGCCCUAAACGAUGGAUACUCGACAUCAGCGAUACACAGUUGGUGUCUGAGCGAAAGCAUUAAGUAUCCCACCUGGGAAGUACGACCGCAAGGUUGAAACUCAAAGGAAUUGACGG
rnacentral:rRNA from 1 species